rnacentral:tRNA from 1 species
ACUAAAUUAGUUUAAUGAAGAAAGAACGUUAGGUUGUGAUUCUAAUAGUAAAAAGAUUUUAUUUAGUA